UACGUAGGGAGCAAGCGUUGUUCGGAUUUACUGGGCGUAAAGGGCGCGUAGGCGGCCAUUCAAGUCAGCUGUGAAAUCUCCGGGCUUAACUCGGAACGGUCAGCUGAUACUGCUUUGCUAGAGUGCGGAAGGGGCAAUCGGAAUUCUCGGUGUAGCGGUGAAAUGCGUAGAUAUCGAGAGGAACACCUGAGGUGAAGACGGGUUGCUGGGCCGACACUGACGCUGACAGCGCGAAAGCCAGGGGAGCAAACGGG
rnacentral:rRNA from 1 species